rnacentral:rRNA from 1 species
CGGAGGAUCCAAGCGUUAUCCGGAAUCAUUGGGUUUAAAGGGUCCGUAGGCGGUUUAAUAAGUCAGUGGUGAAAUCUGGUCGUCUCAACGAUCAAACGGCCAUUGAUACUGUUAGACUUGAAUUACUGGGAAGUAACUAGAAUAUGUAGUGUAGCGGUGAAAUGCUUAGAUAUUACAUGGAAUACCAAUUGCGAAGGCAGGUUACUACCAGUGGAUUGACGCUGAUGGACGAAAGCGUGGGGAGCGAACAGGAUUAGAUACCCUGGUAGUCCACGCCGUAAACGAUGGAUACUAGCUGUUGGGAGCAAUCUCAGUGGCUAAGCGAAAGUGAUAAGUAUCCCACCUGGGGAUACGUUCGCAAGAAUG